AGGUUAAGUUAUGAAGGGCGCAUGGUGAAUGCCUUGGUACUAGGAGCCGAUGAAGGACGGGACUAACACCGAUAUGCUUCGGGGAGCGGUAAGUACGCUUUAAUCCGGAGAUUUCCGAAUGGGGAAACCCAACCAACUUAGUCGUUGGUUGCUUGACUAGUGAAUCUAUAGCUAGCAAGCGGUAGACGCAGUGAACUGAAACAUCUCAGUAGCUGCAGGAAGAGAAAGAAACAUCGAUUCCCUUAGUAGCGGCGAGCGAACGGGGAAGAGCCCAAACCAACGAGCUUGCUCGUUGGGGUUGUAGGACUGAACAUUUGAGUUACCAAAGAGCGACGUAGUCGAAACAGUUGGGAAGCUGUGCCAGAGAUGGUGAAAGCCCAGUAGACGAAACGGCACUCUCUCAGUUCAGGAUCCUGAGUACGGCGGGACACGUGAAACCCCGUCGGAAGCAGCGAGGACCAUCUCGCAAGGCUAAAUACUCCCUAGUGACCGAUAGUGAACCAGUACCGUGAGGGAAAGGUGAAAAGCACCCCGGAAGGGGAGUGAAAUAGUUCCUGAAACCAUGUGCCUACAAGCUGUCGGAGCCCAUUAAUGGGUGACGGCGUGCCUCUUGCAGAAUGAACCGGCGAGUUACGAUUGCAUGCAAGGUUAAGGUGGAAAAACCGGAGCCGCAGCGAAAGCGAGUCUGAAAUGGGCGUACGAA
rnacentral:rRNA from 1 species